GCUAAAACAGUAUUAAAGGUCCAACCUGCCCAGUGACAUAAAUUUAAACGGCCGCGGUAUCCUAACCGUGCAAAGGUAGCGUAAUCACUUGUCCUUUAAAUAAGGACUAGUAUGAACGGUUAAAUGAGGGUAAACCUGUCUCUUGAGGGUUAUCAGUGAAACUGAACUUCCAGUUAAAAUGCUGGAAUUCAUUUAUAAGACGAGAAGACCCUGUGGAGCUUUAAACUGCCUUCAAACAAUAAAUUGAAUUAAAGUUUUUAGUUGGGGCGACUUCGGAACAAAAAAAAACUUCCGAUUAAACCAGAGCACCACUCAAGAAAGCGGCCUACAAGCCAAUAACAACAAAUAUUGACCCGGACCCACCCGAAAAACGAACCAAGUUACCCCAGGGAUAACAGCGCUAUCUUCUUUAAGAGUCCAUAUCAACAAGAAGGCUUACGACCUCGAUGUUGGAUCAGGACACCCAAAUGGUGCAGCCGCUAUUAAUGGUUCGUUUGUUCAACGAUUAACAGUCCUACGUGAUCUGAGUUCAGACCGGAGC
rnacentral:rRNA from 1 species